GUGAUAGUUGGGUGUGAUAGUCGGAUGUGAUGGGUGUGAUAGUCGGGUGUGAUAGUCGGGUGUGAUGGGUGUGAUAGUCGGGUGUGAUAGUCGGGCGUGGUGGGUGUGAUAGUCAGGUGUGAUGGUCAGGUGUGAUUGGUGUGAUGGUCAGGUGUGAUAGUCGGGUGUGAUGGGUGUGAUAGUCGGGUGUGAUGGUCGAGUGUGAUAGGUAUGAUGGUCAGAUGUGAUGGUCAGGUGUGAUGGUCAGGUGUGAUGGUCAGGUGUGAUUGUUGUGAUGGUCAGGUGUGAUAGCCGGGUGUGAUGGUCGGUGUGAUGUGUGUGAUGGUUGGGUGUGAUGAGUAUGAUGGUCAGGUGUGAUGGUCAGGUCUGAUGGGUGUGAUGGUCAGGUGUGCUUGGUAUGAUGGUCAGGUGUGAUUGGUGUAAUGGUCAGGUGUGAUGGGUGUGAUAAUCGGGUGUGAUAGUCGGGUGUGAUGGGUGUGAUGGUCACGUGUGAUGGGUGUGAUAGUCAGGUGUGAUAGUCGGGUGUGAUGUGUGUGAUAGUCGGGUGUGAUGGGUAUGAUGGUCAGGUGUGAUGGUCAGGUGUGAUUGGUGUGUUGGUCAGGUGUGAUAGUCGGGUGUGAUGGCCGGUGUGAUGGGUGUGAUGGUCGCUGUGAUGGGUGUGAUGGUCAGGUGUGAUUGGUAUGAUGGUCAGGUGUGAUGGUCAGGUGUGAUUGGUGUGAUGGUCAGAUGUGAUGGUCAGGUGUGAUUGGUGUGAUGGUCGGGUGUGAUGGUCAGGUGUGAUGGUCGGGUGUGAUAGUCGGGUGUGAUGGUCAGUGUGAUGGGUGGUCAGGUGUGAUGGUCGGGUGUGAUAGUCGGGUGUGAUGGUCAGUGUGAUGGGUGUAAUGAUCAGGUGUGAUGGUCAGGUGUAAUGGUCAGGUGUGAUGGUCGGGUGUGAUGGGUGUGAUAGUCGGCUGUGAUGGGUGUGAUGGUCGGGUUUGAUGGUCAGGGUGUGAUGGUCGGGUGUGAUGGGUGUGAUGGUUGGGUGUGAUGGGUGUGAUGGUCGGGUGUGGUGGAUGUGAUGGCCGUGUGUGGUGGGUGUGAUGGUCAGGUGUGAUGGGUGUGAUGGUUGAGUGUGAUGGCUGUGAUUGUCGGGUCUGGUGGGUGUGAUGGCCGUGAUGGUCGUGUGUGGUGGGUGUGAUGGUCAGGUGUGAUGGUGUGAUGGUCGGGUGUGAUG
ensembl:lncRNA